GGUUUCCAGACAUUUUGUUGUGGCCAGAGAAUCCUCUUUAAAUGGUAACUGGAAUCAUGAAUAACAGAGGUAGACAGCAUCAUAAGAAGAGACUCUUCAAGGCCUCUGUCUGACCACCAGCUCUCACAGCCCCUACUGAGUAGGAAAUAAACAUGGAAUAAAGUGCCCGACUGUUCCAGUUUUUCCCAGACUGAGGGAUUUCUGGGGUGCUUGACCUUCAAGUACUCAGACCAGAAGGAAAAACCAAAUGACC
rnacentral:lncRNA from 1 species